rnacentral:rRNA from 1 species
UACGUAGGGUGCGAGCGUUAAUCGGAAUUACUGGGCGUAAAGCGUGCGCAGGCGGUUCGUUGUGUCGGCGGUGAAAGCCCCGAGCUCAACCUGGGAAUGGCCGUUGAAACUGGCGAACUGGAGUGUGGCAGAGGGGGGUGGAAUUCCGCGUGUAGCAGUGAAAUGCGUAGAGAUGCGGAGGAACACCGAUGGCGAAGGCAGCCCCCUGGGCUGACACUGACGCUCAGGCACGAAAGCGUGGGGAGCAAACAGG